AUGAACGCUAGCGACAGGCUUAACACAUGCAAGUCGAGGGGCAUCAUGAGGUAGCAAUACCUUGAUGGCGACCGGCGCACGGGUGAGUAACGCGUAUGCAACCUGCCUGAUACCGGGGUAUAGCCCAUGGAAACGUGGAUUAACACCCCAUAGUACUUUUAUCCUGCCUGGGAUGGGAGUUAAAUGUUCAAGGUAUCGGAUGGGCAUGCGUCCUAUUAGUUAGUUGGCGGGGUAACAGCCCACCAAGACGAUGAUAGGUAGGGGUUCUGAGAGGAAGGUCCCCCACAUUGGAACUGAGACACGGUCCAAACUCCUACGGGAGGCAGCAGUGAGGAAUAUUGGUCAAUGGACGAGAGUCUGAACCAGCCAAGUCGCGUGAGGGAAGACUGCCCUAUGGGUUGUAAACCUCUUUUAUAAGGGAAGAAUAAGUUCUACGUGUAGAAUGAUGCCUGUACCUUAUGAAUAAGCAUCGGCUAACUCCGUGCCAGCAGCCGCGGUAAUACGGAGGAUGCGAGCGUUAUCCGGAUUUAUUGGGUUUAAAGGGUGCGUAGGCGGUUUAUUAAGUUAGUGGUUAAAUAUUUGAGCUAAACUCAAUUGUGCCAUUAAUACUGGUAAACUGGAGUACAGACGAGGUAGGCGGAAUAAGUUAAGUAGCGGUGAAAUGCAUAGAUAUAACUUAGAACUCCGAUAGCGAAGGCAGCUUACCAGACUGUAACUGACGCUGAUGCACGAGAGCGUGGGUAGCGAACAGGAUUAGAUACCCUGGUAGUCCACGCCGUAAACGAUGCUCACUGGUUCUGUGCGAUAUAUUGUACGGGAUUAAGCGAAAGUAUUAAGUGAGCCACCUGGGGAGUACGUCGGCAACGAUGAAACUCAAAGGAAUUGACGGGGGCCCGCACAAGCAGUGGAGUAUGUGGUUUAAUUCGAAGCAACGCGAAGAACCUUACCAGGUCUUGACAUCCCGAUGAAAAACCCGUAACGGGGUUCCCUCUUCGGAGCAUCGGAGACAGGUGGUGCAUGGUUGUCGUCAGCUCGUGCCGUGAGGUGUCGGGUUAAGUCCCAUAACGAGCGCAACCCUUACCGUUAGUUGCUAGCAUGUAAUGAUGAGCACUCUAACGGGACUGCCACCGUAAGGUGAGAGGAAGGCGGGGAUGACGUCAAAUCAGCACGGCCCUUACACCCAGGGCUACACACGUGUUACAAUGGCCGGUACAGAGGGCCGCUACCAGGUGACUGGAUGCCAAUCUCAAAAGCCGGUCGUAGUUCGGAUUGGAGUCUGUAACCCGACUCCAUGAAGUUGGAUUCGCUAGUAAUCGCGCAUCAGCCAUGGCGCGGUGAAUACGUUCCCGGGCCUUGUACACACCGCCCGUCAAGCCAUGGAAGCCGGGGGUGCCUGAAGUCCGUAACCGCGAGGAUCGGCCUAGGGCAAAACUGGUAACUGGGGCU
rnacentral:rRNA from 1 species